CUUGUGUUCUCUGUCGUUUCCCCAUCCUAUUGGCUCUGUUUGUCUGUUUCCCUGUGAGUCUGUCUGCAGGUGGGCGUGGUCUUCCCGGCUCUGGCUCUCCGCUCUCACACCUGCACCUCGUUCGCAAUCAGCUACCUGUUAUCUACCCCGGUCCAGCACGCCAGUAUUCGCCAGAUUGUCAGCGUAUCUCUCGUGAAACCGCCUGCCAGUCAUCUGCCUGCCCACCUGCCUCACCUCAACCGCCACAACUCACCGCCUCGCCCGGACUCCCCCUCUGGACUCGGAUCACUCUCCACUCCCACGUUUUCCUAACUACUGCAAUAAACUCCCCUUAAUAGUAUCA